rnacentral:lncRNA from 1 species
UUUUUUUUUGGUUUGGACUGGAAUAGAUUUUGACUGGUAGAACGAGUUAGCUUGCAAGCCUAGGUCAAGAAUAAAAUUCUUUACCUAAUAUAGAAAAAAUGAACUUCAACUUGUGGGCUGUAUUAAAUUCUCGAGUAUACCUGUGGCUAUUAAACUUCAAGAUUUUCUUGAUGUACCCUGACACGAAGGAAAACAUCCUUAAUGAGAUGUAAUUUUCUGACAACUUCAUUCAUAUGCAUCCUGUCAUUUGGUAAUCUUGCAGAGCACUUGAGUCCAAUUUUCAGCAGGGAAAUAAUGCAGUCAAUCUCUCUUCCACCAUUAAUAGUUUCCCCCCCAGGAGUCAUAUUUCUGUUUUCAUCUCCUUCAAGAAAAAGCAAUGGAUCCACGAUCUCAUAAACUAGUUCGUGCAACGCCCCAUUAACAUAGUUAUGUAGAUCAAGAUCACCCACGAACAUAUCAUCUGUUGGCCUUCUCCCUGUAAUCAUCUCUAGCAAAAGAAUGCCGUAGCUGUAGACAUCCCCUUGAGUUGAUGCCGCAAGACCCAUUCCAUACUCUGAGAUUUUGUUUCUAGACAUGUUAUUAUUGGGUAGUAAAAGAAAAAACUAUAAAAAAAAAAACUAAGUGAUUAAAAUUAAUCAAAUGUUAGAUUGGGGCAUAAUGGACCUUCUUUUAUAACAAAGUGACUUGACUAAAAUUAGCUACUAUGCAUCAGUGAUUAGAGAUCUCCUGUAAAUCUGAAAAAAAAAAUUUAAAAGAAUUAAAUGUCCCAAAAGUUCUAUAUUUCUGUGCACAAUUAAGUAACAUCUUGACCAUAAAAGGUAGUAAAUUAUAAUUACCUGGAGCUGCAUAACCGAUUGAUCCUUUUAAGGCAAUAGUACUGCUGGUUCUUUGCUCGGAAGAAGUGUUGACGGGUUUUGGGAGAAGCCUUGCCAAUCCAAAAUCACCCACAUGAGCAACAAGAUCAUUGUCAAGAAGAAUGUUACUUGGUUUUAGAUCACAGUGAACAAUCUCAGCUUCGCAGUGGUCGUGAAGAUAUUGCAAUGCUGAAGCCACAUCAAUUGCAAUAUUUAGCUUCUGAGAAAGAUUAAGACUUCUUGAGCUUGUUGCCUGAGCAGUUGUCUCUGAAGGAUGCAGCCACAGGUCCAGAUUUCCAUUUUCCAUGAACUCAUAGAUUAGAGCUUUGAAUUCAUCACCCUUGGAAUCAAUACUGGAGCAAUAACUCACGAUAGAAACGAGGUUUCUGUGGCGAAUAUUUCUCAAUGCUUUGCACUCGGCCUUAAAACUUUUCGAAGCUCCGUUCUUUUGAAGAUCAAGAACUUUAACUGCUACAAGCUUGUUGCCAUGUUUUUCUAGCCUUCCUUUGUAGACAGAUCCAAAAUUUCCUGAACCAAUUAAGUUUUCUGGAGAAAAUCCAGAUGUUGCACGAAGAAGUUCAUGGUAAGAAAGCCGUAAGAGCUCAUCGAUUCUAGGGGGCAUGAUAGAGAAUCCAGCCACCAGUCUUCUUUCUCUUUUUCGAUAUACCAAGAAAUAUAACAACACUGUAACAAGGACCAGAAGCGUUGCCGGUAAAACAAUGGACAGCAAUAUGACAACCUUCAGCUUUCCUCUGUUUUUCCCCUUAAUCACUGGACAAGGUGGGAACUCCAAUUCCGGAAUGCCUCCACAGAGUUUGUUGUUGCCAAUCAAUGAUAUUUGACUUGCAUUGCUGAAAAUCCCUGUGUUUGGUACCUCUCCCUCGAUGUUGUUGUAGGAAAGGUUUAAGUACCUUAAAUAUUGAAGCUUCUCAAGUUCUUUUGGUAUUGAUCCAGUCAAGUUAUUACGUGAAAGGUCUAAUUUCUGGAUGCUCUUCCAAGAAGCCAAAUUUGGUGGAAUUGUUCCUUGGAAAAAAUUGGCCUGCAUGGAGAGAUUCGCCAGAUUUGAACAAUCAGCAAGUGAUAUGGGUAUAUCUCCAGCAAAUUGGUUGUGGGAAACAUUGAAAUCCACCAAAUGUAUAAGCUUUCCAACUUCAGGAGGUAGAGAACCACUAAAUGAAUUUUCACCUAUUUUGAUGUACAUCAGUGAUGAUGAGUGCGUCUGCAAAAAUUGUGGUGAUAUAAUUCCAGUGAAGUUGUUAUGAGAUAUAUCCAGAUAUUGCAAAUUUUGACAGCUCAUAAGAACAUUGUCAAAUAUAUUGCCCCCUUCAAACUGGUUAAAUGAUAAGUUCAGAUGGUAUAGACGUGUGGCAUUGCAUAGGGUAGAGACUAUCUGUCCUGACAACUCAUUUUGGUAUAGACUUAGAAGUUGCAAAUUUUGUAAUUUGCCAAAAUCUCUUGGAAUGACCCCUGAAAGAUGGUUUUCUUCAAGGCCAAGGAGAUAUAGGCUGACAAAAUUUCCAAAUCCUUCUGGAAUAGUUCCUGACAGUUGAUUUCCCCCCAAGUACAAUUGAGUGAGUUGAUUUGAGAGAUUGGACAUGACUCUAGGUAUAUUACCUCCAAAUUUAUUGAUACUCAGGGCAAGGAUUCUUAGAUUACUGCAGUUGGUCAGUGAUCCAAUAAAACCCAAGUCGCCUCUAGAAUUACUGCCGAAGAGAUUAUCACUAAGAGAUAAAACAUUAAGUUGUGUCAGAUCUCCUAAAUUAGUUGGAAUUUGGCCUGCAAACAUAUUUUGGUCGAGAUCAAGUAUCUGAAGCCCAGAAGCAUUGGUGAUUGAAGUUGGAAAGUUUCCAGAGAACUUGUUUUCCCCAACAGCUAAUAGUUUCAGAUUUGGUAGGGUGAGACCUAUGUUGGUUGGGAGAUUACCAUAAAAGGAAUUUUCGGGUGCUGAAAUGGUAGUAAUGGCUGAACUAUUAAAGAUAGAAGCAGGGAUUGUACCAGAGAGUUUAUUUUCUGCAAUUCCUAAUUUAGCUAACCUUUUUAAGAGCCCCAUUUCCAUGGGCAAAUUUCCCUCCAGAUUGUUAAAGCCAAGACUGAGUGCAGUCAAUGAUGAUAAGUUACCAAUGCAGGAGGGAAUCUCUCCUGUAAAAUUGUUUGCGUGAAGAUAAAAAAUUUCAAGCUUCUUCAAAUUGCUCAGCUGAUCAAUCGGAAUUUUCCCCUCUAGCUUGUUCAUCUUUAGGUUAAUAGUCGUCAUCUCUAGGCAGUAGCUCAGGUUUGCUGGGAUUUUUCCACUGAUUGCGUUACUUGAGAGGUUCAAGACUCUCAGCCUGAAGAGGCGACCAAAUUCUUGGGGAAUCUCACCAUGGAAUUGAUUCUCCUCAAGAUGGAUGAGCCUCAUGAAGCUUAGAUUUCCGACAUGAGGAGAUAUGGUUCCAGACAACUGCUUAUGCCUUAGAAUCAAGGCUAUGACCCUUUGAUGUCGAGUACCACAAGUGACUCCUUCCCACUGGCAAUGGUGCUGUGAGUAGCUCCAAGAAUUCAGGACUCCAAACGGGUCAUCAUAUAUCUGCUUCUUGAAUUCAAGCAGAGCAAGGCGAUCGGUCUCAUUUUGAAAAUGUUUUGCAGCUGAAAAGUUCACGGCAACUGAGAGUAGGAGAAAAAUGCCCGCUAAUGUUGAUGAUGAGCGAAAUCCCCACAUGGUAUUUGGAAUUUGGAUGAGCUGUGAAGGCAAAGAUGGAUUAAUUUGCAACAAACUGAUGAUUGAAUGAUAAAAGUUUCUGCGGAAUGGGAACAAUAAUGUUUGAGCUGUUAUAGAAUCGUGUGUAUAGCCCACGCAAUUGGAACUAAUUUUCUUGGUAUAUUUCUGCGGAAAAUGAGCUAAACCUCGUUGUCAGAACUUAAUACAGAAAUGGUCAGUAAGCUUCCACCAACUUGCAAUUUACGCAUAUCGACCAUGACUAAUACUUUUCAAAGCUGGGAUUAAUGUGAUCAUCUACCAGAUCGAGAUGAUGAUUAACAGGAAGCCUUCAUUUGUGUGGAGUAUUUGAUCUUCCCAAUUAACACAAAUCACAAGAAUCUUGAUAUGCUAGAAUCUGUCGGUUGGCUUAGGUGAGUUCUGUUUAAUCUGUUCCCAAAUUUUCCCCUUUUUAUGUUGUUUUAAUGCCAUUUUCUCAAAAAAAAAAAAAAUUUAAUUUGUUUAAAAAGAAGGGUUUGUUUUUUAUGUUAUAAUUUUUAGUUUUUUUCUUUUUUUUUUUUAUGUUAACUUAAUGUCAUAUGUGCAUAAUCAGACUGUCAUCCUGAAGCUAAUUUGCUUCAUUUUAGAAUGUGUGAUAGACAAGAAAAAGUUUUUUUUUUUCCAAAACAUGAGAGACAAUUUGGUGGUCCCAAGAUUUUUAAUGAAACGGAAAAAUACUUAGUGAAGACUAUCAUUUAAGGUAGCAUGUACGGUCCGCAGCUGGGAAAAUGGUUAUUGGUCCUUUACGUAUCAAUUUGGAAAAUGACCAAUACACCAAUUCGAAAAAAUACACCAAUACACCAAUACCCUUGAGUCUGCUCAAGGGUGACAGUUUGCUCUGUUUGCUUUUUUUUUCUUUUUUUUUUUUUCAAGAAAUCCACCUUGAGAUGGUAGAAAUUUUGCAUGUAAUCCUUCCAGUUUGCUGAGAAAUAAAUGAAAAUAAAAUGAUUGAGCAAACAUAAAAGCCUAAUUUUCCACAUUACAUAUCAAACACCAGGGGCCUUGGCUUAGCAACGAGACCAAGUCCCGAUCACUUGUUCACGCUGCUAUUUCUUCUACCUGUGCAUUUACUUAUCUAUUUAUGUUUUCUUGUUGUACAUUCUUCUUAUUUUUUCCUUUUAAUUGAACAAUAAAGUCCAUGAAGCCAGUUAAAACUUAGAAUUAAUAACAAAGUUCUUUUCAUUUUCAUUUUUUUUGUUCAUCAAUAAAUAGAGGGUCAGUUUGUAGUCAAAAUCCUACUGUUUUAAAUCUUGAAACAUGCAUUAAUUAUCCACUAAAUCAUAAGCUCAUUCUCAUUUAGCAAACAACUCCGCAUUCUGCAGUAAACUCAAAGCAGAAAAUUUUCCAAGUAAUGUAUCACUGCUAGACAGUUUUUUUUUUUCAUCAGAAUUUUGAUGUAUUUUUUAAAAAGGUUAUGACCCUUUUCCCCGAUGAUGAUGAUGAUGAUGAAAAUAAUAAUGGUAAUAACCCCAGUGCACUGAAGCCAAACAUAAGCCCCAUUUGGUAAGUGAGUUUUUUGGGAAUUUGUCUAAAAUUUUACUGUAAUUUACUGAAGAAUUUAUAGAAAAAUUUUUUGAAGUGUGUAAAAAUUUCUUUAAGAAAAGAAAAACUUUCCUCUUUUUUCUCCUUUCUUUCCUUUCCGCUUCUUCUCCCCCACGCCACCGCAAUCUUUUUCUCCCUCCCACCUCACUAACUGCCCGUCCUUGCCAGCUACCAGCGGUAGAAACUUUCUUUUUCUCUCUCUCCAUCCUACCUCUCCUUUUUUUUUCUUUUCCCCUUUCUUUCCUUUCCUCUUCUUCUCCCUCACUCCACUGCAAUCUUCAUCUCCCUCCCUCUAUCUCCUCCUUCCCUUCUCCUCUCCCCUCUAUCUCCUCCUUCCCUUCUCUACUUCCUUCCUCUCCCCUCUUUCCCUUCUCCUCCUUCCCCUCUAUUUCCUCCACCCUCUCCUCCCCUCUGCCCCCGCCAUCUCCUUCCCCCUCCCUUCCCCGAUCAUGACUAGAUAUGGCAACUGCUUAUUCCUUAGAGUCAAGGCCGUUGUUAAUAAACCCGAAUCGACUCAACGAUUGAACCGGUAGGUCCGGUGACCCGACCAUUAGACCAACGGGGUCUCUAGUUUGAUCGGACAAGAAAUUGACCUGGUCAAACCCGAUUGACCCGGUAGUUCAACCGGAAACCCAGCCAAUUUUUCAAUUGACCCGAUUAACUUUUUUUUUUUUUUUUAAUUAUGGGUCUUUGUUUUUGAAACAAAAUGUAUAUAUGCUUUUGAUAAGGUUUGUAUACUGGAUCUUCAUUUAAAUAUAUAUAGACUUUACCACUUGUUUAGUUUUUAUUUAACAACUAAAUUUUUUUUAAUAAACUUGUUUAUUUUUUAUUAUACAAUUAAUCUUUUUAACUUUUAAACUGACAAUAUUUGAUUAGUUAGAAAAUUACUUUGUUUUUAAAUAAUAAUAAAAAAUAAUGCUAUAUUAUUGAAAAAAAACAAUAUAAAUUUUGUUUUAUACUUGACUAUAUUAUUUAUUUAUUUAAAAGUAUGAUAAAGUGAAAUUAAAUCUUCUAUUAAUAUCUAUAUAUUUAUUAUAUAUCUUUCUAAGUAUAUCAUUAGUAUCUAAAAGUACUUUAUUUUAUGUAUAUUAAAAUUACUAUUUUAUAUUUAUAAAUGUUAAAUUAAUACUUACCGGUUCAAGUAGUUAUCCCGUCCCUUUGCCGGAUUUCUUAUCAGGCCGGAUUUAAUAGCCACUCAAGGCUAUGACCCUUUGAUGUCGAGUACUACAGGUGACUCCUUCCCACUGGCAAUGGUGUUGUGAGUGGUUCCGGGAUUUCAGCACUCCAAACGGGUCAUCAUAUAUCUGAUUCUUGAACUCAAGCAGAGCAAGACGAUCAGUCUCAUUUUGAAAUUGUUUAGCAGCUGAAACAUGGCUUACUGAAAAGUUCAUGGCAACUCAGAGUACGAGAAAUAUGUUUGCUAAUGUCGAUGUGCGAAAUCCCCACAUGGUCCUUGUUGGGAUCGGCUACAAACUGAUGAUUGAAUGAUAAAAGUUUCUGUGGAUUGGGAACACGGUUGAGCAGUUAAAGAUUAGAGCUUAAUAAAGAAAUGGUCAGAAUUAAGCAUAUCGACCGUGAUCCAAUUCCUGGUACCGGUAGUUUUUCAAGCCACGAAAAUUACUUGCAAAGCAGAUCGGAAACAAUUAGAAGAUAAAUUCCCAAUGUUUUGCAUUAUGAAUCAUUCAUUCGUUAACCCGACAAAUUCUUAUCAAAGCAAAAGCUAUCUCUAGUGAAUUUUUCAUUGAUAUAUUAUUGAUCCAAAGUAAUUGUACAUCUAUAAAUAAAAUGAUGGAUUCUUAUGAUUUAACAAAAGGGAAAAUUGAUCGAAAAGCUUCUCAUAUUUUAUUAAAUAAAUUUUGUCAUUCCUGAUUUUUAAAUUAUUGACCUUACAUCGCUUACAAAAUCUAAAUCGAUCAAAUUUAGUCUCAAUUGGAUUCUCCGUAAAUUAUGAUGCAGUAUGAGAGAUGAUCAAUAGUCUUCCCAGUUUGGCCCACAAUUAAAAUCAAAUUUAACGGAAGAUGGACUCUCAACUUAGUCUAUCGUCAUCCGAACCAAUACCGAUGGGGGCCAUUCAGUGACUGGAUUAAUGAAUCAUAAUUCAAGACCCAUAAAUGAAACUAAAAAUUUUCCACACGAGUGAUUAUGAACCCCCUAGGGCUCUUUGCCAAGGGCCCAGUUAGCAGACUUAUUAAAUUGGGCAAACUGUACUAAUACCGGCUGAACCUUUUGAAAAAAUUUCUUAUUUUGUUCGCUUGAUUUUUUUUUCCCCAAUUCCAUUUGAUCAUUUAGCUUAGCUUAGAUGCCUCGUCUUUCCCAUUCGUCUAAUUUCUGCCUUUAUCUCACUGAUUAAAAGUUCCCAGAUUUAAUAUGGUAUCUACUCCAGAGACAUUUUCAUCUAUUGUUUUCGUCUGUUUAGAUCUAGAAAUGAGACAUACUGAUAAGAUAUGGGUAUUAAGUAUCGGAUUAAUAGAUGAAAUUGGAUGAAAUGGGCAAAAUAUGAUAUUUACUAUUAGGGUUUUUCUAACGGACGCCUUAAGGUACUCGAUAACACAUUUAAUAUUCACCUAACCUAUCAUAUAUAUAUACACACAUAUAUACACGUAUACUAACAAUCAUUAUCCUCCAUUGCAUUUAUAUACUUUCUCUAUUUAAUUUGGCUUACCAUCCCUUGUAUUUAUUUACUUUUUCUAAUUAACACCUGAAAUAUUGUUUAACGAUGCCCUAUAAAACAAACUGUUACUAUUAUUGUAUAACCUAUUUGAGACACCCCCAACAAAAUAGGAAUACAAAUAAAAAAGGUUAGUACAUUUAGACUGAUUAUGCAGGUGAUGAUGCAUAUGAUUAUCAUGUCUUUUAAUACUAAAUGAAGUUUUUUUUUUUUUUUUUUUAUGACCACCAUGGCCAUCGAUAACUUGAUCGGGCAAUGUAUGGAUAUGCUAGCAAGGGAACAUAUGGGCUUUUUGUGCAAUUGAUUCCUGUCCUCUACCCCUUUAUGUCGUUCUCAUUGUGACUAAGGCUCCGUUUGAUAACACUGAAUCUGAAUUCUGAAUUCUGAAUUCUGAAUACUGAAAUAAUUAAUUUGCUGAAUUUUAAGCACUGAAAAGAUAUAUAUGAAUGUCUGAAUCUUAAUGCUGAAUCUAUUUAUACUGUUUGAUAAAUAUUCAUAACUUAAUGCUUAAUAAGCUAAAUUGUACAAUUUUGUCCUUCUAUCUUUUAAUUCAAAAAGGAAAUAGAACCUAUGAUUUAAUUAAUUUAAAAUUGUUAGGUAUGAAAAUGACAAUGAUUGUGAAGAGCAAUUCAUACAAUGACAAUGUUUCUUUGUGUGGGAAAAGGGUAUGAUUUCAUCGUUUUGAAAAUGGGAAAAUGAGCUUUUAAUACUCCAAAAGCACGUUCAAUUACAUUUCUCAAUCUUGCAUGUGCUUGGUUAAAGCGUUCUUCUUUUGAUCUUGGACGAUAAGCAUUUCGAAAAUCAGACAACCAAUAUCUAAUAUUUCGAUAUGGUGUCAUAAAGCCACGUGUGUGGAUAAGCUGCAUCACAUAAAUAAUAUUUAUCUGCACAAAAAAAUAUCAAAAUAUAAAUGUUUGUGGAUGAAAAUUACUGCAAAAAAAUACUACUAUUGUUAAAAAAAAUUUUUGAAUAGAGAAUAUCAGGUUGUUUUGUUUAAUUAGAUAAGGAUUUUGAAUAGGGAAUAUUAGGUUGUUUAAUUAAAUAAGGAUUUUGAAUGUAAUUAACAAAUAGGGAUAUAUUUGGUAGAUAAGAUAAAGCAGUUGAAGUAAAUCUCUUGAUUCUUAUCAAAUUAAGCAUUCAGCUACGAUUCUUGUGCUGAAAAAAAUACAUACAAAUUCAGCACCACUUAAUAAGUUCAGCAAGUGAAUUUUUAUUUAUCAAACACUCAUAACAUCUGAAUGUCUGAAUGAAUUCAGUUUCAGCACUUUUUUAUGUUAUCAAACAGGCACUAAGAUUUCAUGUGGUAGCAAAAUCAACAUUCAAAGAAAGGCAUGCUAAUGUAAAUCAAUCAUAGGAGCAAGAGCAUGCCCUGUAAUUAAGUACUGUACGAUUUAUUGUAUAAUGUUUAUUAUGGAAACAUAAGAUUCAAAACAUUCAGUUCCUAUAAAGAAAGAGCAUACCACAUGAACAGCUAUCAGUUCAGUUCAUAUUUGAGUCGUCCAUUUAAUUUUUUAAAUAAGAGAGCCAAAGGUGUCUUCUUUAGCUGCUCACACAGCUAUCAACUUCAGCUCAGAGAUUCAGACCAACAAACAGCUGCAAAUCCAGAUACAUCUUUUUCCACGCUAGUGAGCACAACACAUAAUUCCUUUUUUUUUUCUUUUUCUUUUGGCUAAAAUAGAUUCUGAAUGGUAGAAGUGAGUUAGCUUGCAAGACUGGUCAAGAAAAAAUCGUUUAUCUAAAAUAGAAAAACUGAACCUCAAUUUGUGACUGUAUUAAAUUCUCAUAUAUACCAGUUGCUAUUAAACUUCAAGAUUUUCCUGAGCUACCCUGACACCAAGAAAAACACCCUUAAUGAGAUGUAAUUCGCUGACAACUUCAUUCAUGUGCAUCCGAUCAUUUGGCAAUCUUUGUGAGCAUUUGAGGCCGAGUUCCAACAGGGAAAUAACACACUCCAUCUCUCUUCCACCAUUGAUCAUUCUUCUGUUUCCAUCUCCUGCUUUACAAAGAAUCAAGGGGUCCACGAUCUCACAAACUUGUUCAGACAGAGCUCUAUUAACAUAGUUAUGCAGAUCUAGCUCAUCCAUAAACAUAUCAUCCGUUGGCCUCCUCCUAGUGAUCAUCUCUAGCAAGAGAAUCCCAUAACUGUAGACAUCCCCAAGAGUUGAUGCCGCAAGACCCAUUCCGUAUUCUGAACUUUGUACAAGAAAAUCUUUAAAAAAUAGGGAAAAUUAUCUAAGGGAGAUAAUUGGAUCAAUUGUUUAGACAUAUAAUUUAGGGAAGGGGUGGGUUGGGCUGAACCUCCUACUUAUAAUAAUUAAAACAAAACCUAUAAUUUGAGAGUUUGAUUAGUCUGCACACAAUUAAGUAAAAUCUUGACAACAAAAAUUUGCAUUACCUGUGGCUGCGUAACCGAUUGUUCCUUUUAUAGCAAUGGUACUGCUACCUUCUUGCUCGGAAGAUCUGUUGACGGGUUUCGGGAGAAGCCUUGCCAAUCCAAAAUCACCCACAUGUGCAACAAGAUCACUGUCAAGAAGAAUGUUACUUGGUUUUAGAUCACAAUGAACAAUCUCUGCUUCACAGUGGUUGUGAAGAUACUGCAAUGCUGAAGCCACAUCAAUUGCAAUGUUCAGCUUCUGAGAAAGAUUAAGGCUUCUUGAGCUUGUUGGUUUAUCAGUUGUCUCUGGAUGCAGCCACAGGUCCAGAUUUCCAUUUUCCAUAAACUCAUAGACUAGAGCUUUGAAUUCAUCAUCCUUGGAAUCAAUACUGGAGCAAUAACUCACGAUAGAGACAAUGUUUCUAUGGCGAAUAUUUCUCAAUGCUUUGCACUCGGCCUUAAAACUUGUGGAAGCCCCAUUCUUUCGAAGAUCAAGAACUUUGACUGCUACAAGCAUAUUGCCAUGUUUAUCUAGCCUUCCUUUGUAGACAGCUCCAAAAUUUCCUGAACCAAUUAAGUUUUCUGGAGAAAAUCCUGAAGUUGCACGAUGAAGUUCAUGGUAAGAAAUUCGCAAAAGCUCAUCGAUUCUUGGGGGCAUGCUAGAGAAUCCGGCCACCGGUCUUCUUUCUCUUUUUCGAUAUACCAAGAAAUAUAACACUGUCACAAGAACCAGAAGCGUUGCCGGUAAAAGAAUGGACAGCAAUAUGACAACCUUCAGCUUUCCUCUGUUUUUCCCCUUAAUCACUGGGCAAGGAGGGAACUCCAAUUCUGGAAUGCCUCCACAGAGUUUGUUGUUGCCAAUCAAUGAUAUCUGCCUUGCAUUGCUGAAAAUCCCUGUGUUUGGUAUCUCGCCCUCGAUGUCGUUGUAGGAAAGGUUUAAGUACCUCAAAUAUUGAAGCUUCUCAAGGUCCUUUGGUGUUGGACCAGUCAAGUUAUUACUUGAAAGGUCUAAUUGCUGGAUGCUCUUCCAAGAAGCCAAAUUUGGUGGAAUUGUUCCUUGGAAAAAAUUGGAUUGCAUAUAAAGAUUCUCCAGAUCUGUACAAUCAGCAAGUGAUAUGGGUAUAUCUCCAGCAAAUUGGUUGUGGGAAACAUUGAAAUCCACCAAAUGUAUAAGCUUUCCAACUUCCGGAGGCAGAGAUCCACUAAACGAAUUCUCACCUAUUUUCAUGUACAUCAGUGAUGAGUGCGUCUGCAGAAAAUGUGCUGAAAUAAUUCCAGUGAAGUUGUUUUGAGAUAUAUCCAGAUAUUGCAAAUUUUGACAGUUCAUAAGAACAUUGUCAAAUAUAUUGCCCCCUUCAAACUGGUUAAAUGAUAAGUCCAGAUAGAAUAGAUUGGUGUUGUUGCAUAGGGUAGAGACUAUCUGUCCUGACAAGUCAUUAUGGUCCAGACGCAAUCCUUGCAAAUUUGGUAACUUGCCAAAAUCUCUUGGAAUAAUCCCUGAAAAAGAGUUCACUUCAAGGCCAAGUUGAAUUAGGUUGACAAAGUUUCCAAAUCCUUGUGGAAUGGUUCCUGACAGUUGGUUUCCUCCCACGAGCAAUUCAGUGAGUUGAUUUGAGAGAUUGGCCAUGAUUUUAGGUACAUUACCUCCAAGUUUAUUGCCACUCAAGGAAAGAAUUCUUAGAUUACUGCAGUUGGUCAGUGAUGCAAUAAAAUCCAAAUCUCCUGUAGAAUUAUUGCCGAAGAGAUUGUGAUAAAGAUUAACACUUUUGAGUUGUGUCAGAUUUCCUAAAUUAGCUGGAACUUGGCCUUCAAACUUAUUGCGGGAAAGAUCGAGUACCUCAAGCCCAGAAGCAUUGGUGAUUGAAAUUGGAAAGUUUCCCCCAACACCUAAUUCUUCCAGAUUUGGUAAGGUGAGACCUAUGUUGGUUGGGAGAUUGCCAUGAAAGGAAUUGCCGGCCACUGAAAUGACAGUAAUGGCUGAACUAUUAAAGAUGGAGGCAGGGAUUAUACCAGAUAGUUUAUUUUCUGCAGCUGAAAAUAUAGAUAACCUUUUUAAGAGCCCCAUUUCCAUGGGCAAAUUUCCCUCCAGAUUGUUAAAGGCAAGACUGAGUGUAGUCAGCGAUGAUAAGUUCCCAAUGGAGGAGGGAAUCUCUCCUGUCAAAUUGUUUGCGUGAAGAUAAAAAUUUUCAAGCUUCUUCAAAUUGCUCAGCUGAUCAAUCGGAAUUUUCCCUUCUAGCUUGUUCUCGAUUAGGCUAAUGGUUAGCAACUCUGAGCAGUAGUUCAAGUUUGCCGGGAUUUUUCCACUGAUUGCGUUACUUGAGAGGUUCAAGGCUCUCAGCCUGAAGAGGCGACCGAAUUCUUGGGGAAUCUCACCAUGGAAUUGACUCUCCCCAAGUUCCAUAAACCUCAUGAAGCUUAGAUUUCCGACAUGAGGAGAUAUGGUUCCAGACAACUGCUUAUCCCUUAGAGUCAAGUACUGCAGGUGACUCCUUCCCACUGACAAUGGUGUUGUGAAUGGUUCCAAGAAUUCAGGACUCCAAACGGGUCAUCAUAUAUCUGCUUCUUGAAUUCAAGCAGAGCAAGGCGAUCGGUCUCAUUUUGAAAUUGUUUAGAAGCUGAAACAUGGCUUACUGAAAAGAUCAUGGCAACUAAGAGAAGGAGAAAUAUGUUUGCUAAUGUUGAUGAUGAGCGAAAUCCCCACAUGGUAUUGGGAACUUCCAUGAGCUGUUGGAUGCGAAGAUGGAUUAAUUUGCAACAAAUUGAUGAUUGAAUGAUAAAAGUUUCUGCGGAAUGGGAACAAUGUUUCUGCGGAAUGGAAUGGGUAGUUCUGCUUAUAUUAGCCCAAACAACUGGAACGAAAUAAUUUCUUGGUAUAUUUUCGAGUAAAAUGAGCUAAACUUCGUUUUGAGAACUUAAUGCAGAAAUGGUCAGCGAGCUUCCACCAACUUACAAUUUAGUAACCUAAUAAAACAAACACGCAAGAUGAUUAUUGGUCCUUUACGUAUCAACGACCAUCAAUUUGGAAAAUGGCCUAGACAGCGACUUUAUAGAAAUCAAAUGCGCUUCUAUUUCUAAAUUCUAGCGUGCAUUUUUCAGUCAAUCUGCCUAGGGGAGUCAGUUGCUCUGCUCUAAGUCUACACAAACAUACAAAACUGAGCACAAAUAAUUUAUCUGAGGUUGGAGAAAAUGUAUUCUUUUUUCUUGACCUAAACAAUAAAAGUAUUCUCUUUGUCUUAGUUAGUUAUAUUUUUAUUCCUUUUUCCUCAUCUUCUAAUUGACAACCAACCUAAUGUCUUCUCUCAACUUACACUUCUUUGUGUGUUUUACGAGAUGUCAACCACAAUUUUUGCGAUGACUAGUCAGCGGCGGAUUUGUAUGUAGGGGCAUGGAGCACCGAAUUCCAUUAGUAUAGCCUUCAAUUUUAGUAAUUUUUUCGCUUUGCCCCCCAAUAAAUUUUCCUCAAAAGUGAAUGCACCGCUCCAAAAUCAAAUGACUAGGUUUGCAAUUUGAUGGAAUUGGAAUACUAAACAAUUCAAAAUCAAAUGCUUUUUACUCUAAUCAUUUGGUUUCCUUGAAAGUCAUUUUAAUUUACUACUCAUUAAUUAAAUACUUUCUUUGGACUUUUUCCAAUAAAAUAAAUAUGGAAUUAAGUAAUCCUUUGUGAAAUGAACAAUAAAGAGAAAGCAAUAUUUUCCAAUACAGCAUACUUAACAAUAUCGUAGGCAAACGAGCAGAUUAAAAAUGUUUAGCAUGCUUUUUUAAAAGAAAAUGAUUAUUUUAUUAGUAAGUUUUAGCAUGUCAUUUUGGGUUAUAUUAAUCAUGAUAUGCAUGUAUUACAUUUACUUGUUAUACAAAUGCUAUUGUUAUGGCUUUCAGAAAAAAAAAAAAAAGAAGAAACUUUAAUAUUAAUUUUGCUUCUGCUAGAAAUUAUUUCUGGCUCUGCGCUGUGACUAGAGGUGGCAAAUCAACCCACUUAACUAAAUUUACCCAUACCCGUCCGUGAAUAGAUGGGUAUGGGUAUCUUAAAUUUUUGUAUAUGGGUAUAAAUGGGUUACCCAAUAAUACUCAUUUAUUAAAUGGGUAUUAUUGAGUAACCCAUCAAACCCAAUUAACCCAUUUAGAAUUCUCUUCCCCCCAAGUCUCUUCUUUACCCCCACCUUUUUUGUUUCAAAUUUUUUAUUUUGUCAUGAUGUUAACUACUUUUGUUUCAUUAUUAUUAUUAUUAUUAUUAUUAUUAUUAUUAUUAUUAUUAUUAUUAUUAUUUGUUGGUUUUAUCUUAUUAUUUUAUUUUCUCUUAGUUUGUUAACUUGCUCAUUUUUUAGCAUUACCAAUUUAUGAUAAAUUUUAGCCUAUUUUCUUAUCUUUAUAAAAUGAAAUUUUAAAUUUAUAUAUGAAAAAAAUGUUAGGGGUUCAAAAUUUUUGGAUUAAGUUUUUAUAUUAAUUUUUAUAGUAUUUAGUUCAAAUUUUUAUAUUCUUAUUAUUCAAUUAUUAAAUAAUAGGUAAUUUUGUGACAGAGUAUAAAUGAAAAAAAAUUGGUAAUUAAGUUUAUUGAACAUUAUAAGUAAAUAUUUAAAACUAAUAAUGGGUACAAAAAGUUGUGUAAAUUGAUAACUUAGUUUGCAAAAAUGAAUUUAAAUUAGUUUACAAAAAGUUAAAAUAAAUGGAUUAUAAAUGGGUAAUUGGGUUAUCCAAUUCAUUUUUUGACUUACCCAUUUAUACCCAUCUAAUUAAAUAGGUAUAAAUGAGUUGACUCACUUAUACCCAUUACCCAUUUUACCCAACCCAAACCCGCCCAAGUCACCCAUUUUGACACCUCUAGCUGUGACCGGUGUAAAGGUUUCCAUUAGCAUGUUCGUAUCUCAGAAAACUUUUUCUAUGAGAAACAUUAUUUCCAAAAGCUAAACAGUAAAAUUAAUAGAAUGGAAAAAUCGUCCAACAGAUCAAAUUUGGUUCAAAGUUUUAUGCAUGAUUAAGUUUCUUUCUUAUUUAUUCUUAGGUAAGUUAUACUUUAUCAUCUUGUGUAUCAGAGCCUUUGCACAUAAUCCCUUCGUGAUUAAACUAAAGUGUCAAGCGAUAGGAGAUAACGUUCAAACUAUAGAAUCUCACCUCAAACAAAGACCCUAGGAAGUAAUUGGAUCUACCAUUGUUUUUGGUAUAAAAGUUCCUAUAAAAUUGGGAAAUGCCUAUAAUGGAUUAACUGAAAUGUCAAGAUUACCCUCGUUUCAAAGCUAAAAUGACUGGAAUGGCAAAAAUAUAUACAAAUGUAGUAUGCAUUACACUUUAGCCCCUAUAAUUUAGCAUUUUUGCAAAUAACCCUCUUACGAUUUUCUAAUCUAUGUAUAACCCUCAUCAUGUGGUUAAUAAAUAAUUUCCAUCUUGACAUUGGAAUAAUUCUAAUAUUUUAAUCAACUUUGCCACAAAGGAAAAAUGUGAGGAAACCAUAUUUUUAAUCAACUCUUAAAACCAUAGGAGAGCUAAGUGAUAGCUCAAUCCCACACCAUAAAGUUAAGACAUGUCAGACUAGAAUAUAAAUAGGAAUUUAAGAGUUCAAAUUAAAAUUGAGACAUUCAUUUUGUCCUAAUUAGGACGGAACUUAAAAUCUUAAAUAAUUAGAUUUGACCGCUAACGCUCGGGGUUAGGUGAACAGAUUUUCAAGCUAGGGCCUCUUUUUUGGAAUGAUAACCAAUUAUAAGGGUCCAUUUGGUUCAUGGAUGAUAUAGAAUUGGAUUAAUCAUCCUGUGUGUCAUUCCGUAUUUGGUUGCAUUUUAUAUAUAAGAUGACACAUUCCAAUUAAUCGAAUUAAUCCCCUAUAUAUGGGAUAAAAUAAUCCCAUGAAAGAGGUGAUAUUAGUCAUCCUGGAAUGACUAAGAGAUAGGAUGAUGAAAUAUUAGACUAACUUAUUCUUACAAAUAAUAUAAAUUUAUACUAUCAUAAUUAUAUAACCUUACCCUCACAUGAUAAUAUACUAUGAAUAGACUAAUUUGCCCCUACAAAUUAAUUUAUAAUUUUUGACUAAUUUGCUUCUACCACUAACAUAACAAUAUUUGAACUAAUUUGCUCUUGCGAAUGAUACAAAUUCAUACUGAAUAUUAUAUAACCAUAUUCUCACAUAAUAACAUGAUAAUAAAUGGAUUAAUUUGCCCCUACUAAUUAUAUUAAAAGAUUACUAAUUUGCCCCCAUUCAUUUUUUAAAAUUUUUGACAAAUUCACCCUUAUUAAUUAAUCUAAAUUUUUUGACUAAUUUGCCCCUACUUCAUAAUAAAAGGACUAUAUUAUCGGUGGACUAAAUUGCCCUUACAAACCUUAUUUUCUCAACCAAAUUCUAUAGAAAUACAUAACCUUAUCAAUUGGGCUUUGCAAAUGAGGGCUUCAAUAAGCUCCACCUUCGCCCAGAGAAAAAUUUUCUAUAUUGGCUUGAGUUUGGUUGAUUUAAGGGAUAAUUUCAGAAACCUCCCCUGAGGUUUCUGACAAUUUCAUUGAGCUCCCAUAAGAUUUGAAAAAUUGCACUUACCUCCCUUGAUUUGAUAGUUUUAGUAACAAAAUCUUAAAAUAAUAUUGACUUGGUCAAUUUUUAAAUGAAUACCCAAAAAUAUCCUUGUGUAAUGAGUUUUAAUUUAUUUUUCUAUACAAUUAUAAGAUUAUAUAAUAUAAUUAUAAGGAAAAUGUGCCAAAAUUUUCAUGUUCAUAUCUACUAUUUGAUAAACAACUAUAAUAAUAAUUUUAUUACUAUGAUAUGAUACUUUUGAUGGUAUUUUAUUAUGGAUUUAGAUUUAUAAGAUAGAAAAAAUAUUGAAAUAAUUAAUUUAGAAUUUAUGAAUUUUUGGAGUAGUGGGAUUAUCAUAAUUUAAUAGUGCUUUUGGGCCAUUUCUUUUUGAUUUAUUGUUACUUUUAAUACCAAAAAUAGAAAACAAAGAUCAGCAAAAAACAUUGGAUUACAUAUAAAAUUAAUUCGUCAAAAAAAUCACUAGUUCGACAUUUGGUUAUAAUAGAAACUAGGGCAAUAGUGGUAGUUUUACAAUUUUAUUAGCGAAAAAUUAGAAAAAAAUGAAUAAGAAGGAAAAAUAAUGAAAAAUAAUUUUAAAACUCAUUCUAAGUAUAAGUAUACAAAAUAAGGGAUUUUCAUUAAAAUAUUUAGGGUUAAAUGCAAAAAACCCCCACAAACUAUAUACCCAGUUGCAGUUUACCCCCUAAACUAUAAUAAUAAGCAUUUUCGCCCUUGAAUGAUAUGUUUGGACAACACUACCCCUACUAUCUUAAAUCCUUUCUCUUUUUUUUUUCUCUAUUAGCUUUUUUCAUUUUUUCCUUUUAUUUUCUUUUUUUCUCCUUCUCUCGUGGAACUAGCCAACGUCUCUCUCCGAUGUGAAAAGACUUACAUAAAAAAUUUUACAAUUUUUUAAACUGCUUUUUAAUUUCUUUAUUUGUUAAAUUCAUUCUUAAUUUUUUGUCAUAAAUUCUUUGUUAUUACAAAAUAUAAGUAGCUUAUAUUGUAAAGUGUAUUAAUCUAGUUAUUCAACAAUUUAAGUACCUAUAAACUAAUUAAGAGUUCACAGUUACUCAACUACUUAUAAUAAAAGUAACAUAUUAUAUAUCACAUAAAAAUGAAAAGUUAGCAAUUUUUAUUUGUAGUGAAAUAAAAAAUAAGAAUAAACAACAAUAGUAGUUCAUUUUGUUUGUUAUUGAUACUACUAAUAAUUGAUUAAUCAAUUUCUCUAUUUUAUUAUUAUAUAUUUGAAAAGUUCAAUUUCUUAAAUGACAUUGACUUCAAUAUUUGGAAAAAAAAUCUUGUAUUCCAUAGAUUUUUUUUUAUAAAAUAUUGACAUACGAAAUUAAGAAAUAAACAAAUUUUGACUAAUCUAGUCUACUUAUUUAAACAAUGUUUAAAGAAAAAAAAGGAAGAAUUUAAAAAGAUAAUGAUAGGGAAAAAAGAAAAAAUAACAAUGCUUAAAAUAAAAGGGGUAGAUUUGUCCAAACAUAUCAUUCAAGGGGGCAAAAUGCCUAUUAUUAUAGUUUAGGAGGUAAACUGCAACUGGGUAUAUAGUUUGUGGGGGUUUUUUGCAUUUAACCCAAAUAUUUAAGAGUACAAUUGUCAUUUUAAAUGACAAGGGAGGUAUGUGUAAUUUUUCAAACUUCAGGGGAGCUCAAUGAAAUUGUCAGAUAUCUCAGGGGAGGUUUCUGAAAUCAUCCCUUGAUUUAAAACUCUUAAGUGGGUUGGACUUUAUUCAAUUUAACCCUCGUUUAGCCAAAACUCGGCCAAUUUUUUAAUUGAAUUUCAAAUUUAGAUUCAAAAACUAGGUUAAACUUAUUUUUAAAGGUCCGAAUGGGUUGAGUUUGAGUGAAUGCAAAUUUUUAUAUAUUAAAACUCUUGAUUUAUUUUAUAAUUCUAAGGUUUCAAAUUAUUUUAUUUUAAUAAAAGUUAUAAAUUAUUAAAUUAUUUUACUAAAACGAUCCUACAAAUUAAGGGGUACUUUGAUCAUUAAAAUAGUAAUCUUAUCUCAUCUAAUAUCUAAUCAAACACAUGAUUGAGUUAUUUUUCAAUAUAUCAUAUUCAACCUAGAACCAACCAAACACUAGAUAACUUGGAUUAUUAAUUUGAGGAUGACUUAACCCAGGAUUAAUAAUCCAAGGAUGAGUCUUUCUAUUUCAUCUGGUCUGUGAACUAAACAAACCCUAAAGCCCUGAAAACAAAUAAAUUGGGUAAUAAGGUAGGAGCCUUUAUGCUUACAAAUCAAAUGAUUUGGAUGUAAAAUGGCUUAUCGUCCUCUCAACUGUAUAUAAAUCUAUGCCUUUUUUUAAUUUUGAAUAAUUACCAUUAUUUUAGUUCAACAGAUGGAUGGGCUAAAUGUAGACGUCUCACUACUAAAUGCACACGUUUUAUUAUUCAAUUAAAUAAAAAGAACAAAUGCUUAAAAUAGAGAAAACGAUCCUUUGCAGACUGAAUAAAAAGUUGGCAUUUUGGCAAAAAAAAAAAAAAAAGAGUUGGCGCGUCGAUAAAUCCCUGCAGACUGUAGUUUUUUUUUUUUCUCUUUUUUUUGGAGCAAAAUAGAAAAGAGUUAGAUAAAUCACCGUUUGUGCCACCACAAAAAUUACAGCAAAAUGCCACCUAUGAUAAAGCGAAUUCAUGCUAGAUAUAAAAUCUGUUUCAAUGGAAAAAAAAAGUUUAGUAAAACUUUUAAGUGCAUUUAUUUCAAAUGAAUGCAAUUAUUGGAACUAAUUACACAUAAUAAUCACUACAAAUGAAUAUUCAAAAAUAGCUCAAUAAAAAUAUAGUUACCUGUAUGUUCAAACAUGAGGGAAGACGGCAAUAAAGGCACGGGGAGCUGGGGAAUAAGAUCAAUUAUAUUCCCAGAUAUUGGUGGCUAAAAAACUUCUUUAACCCAAUCUUCAAAUGCUCGAGCAGAGUUGAGCCGGUUGACUUCAACUUUUAAAUCAGCAUGACUAACACGACAAAACAAGAAAAUAAAAUGUUUAAAGCAUACAUUUAUUUUCCAAGUAAAAAUCCAUAAGUAUGUAUCUCUUCAAGAGUGCACCAGCUAGCAAUUUCACCUCGGAGCUUCAGAUCUGCAUACAGCUGCAAAUCCAAAGAAAGCCACGCGUUAUCCCUUCCCACCAAGAAGAUAUCCAUUUCCUUGCUAGGGAGUGAAUUAAGACUGACAGGGUGUCGAAGCCUGUGCAAUAAUAAAUACCUGCUCAAACUAAAAUUAAUUUCUGUAGAUAGCGGUGAGCAGGGUCGAAUCCACAGGGACUGGGAGUAAUUGUUUCUUUUCAAGUUCACAGUGACAAGGGGGGUGUUUUUAUGCAGAAAGUGACAAUCAAAUAAAUGCAAAUAAAAUCUAAGAAGCUACUAAAAAUUAAAUAACAAAUUACCAAAAUCAAAUGAAUGAUAAUUAAGGAUCUAGCCAAGGAAUAACUUCAGCAAUGGUUCACCCAAUUGAUCAUCGAUAAGCAAAGGCAAUCCCAAUUAUUUACUAAUAAAUAGGUUAUAACUGCCAAACAAGCGAUGACAGUCAACCCCUCCUUACUGUGUCGAUGAUUAAGGUACGCCCGUUAAUCACUGCUCUAAUUGAGAAAUAAUCCUAGGUACGCCCGUAGAAUUUAAUUCCCCAAUUGCCUUACGUAUUAGAGGAGCCCUAUUCUAAUCAAAUAACGCACUACCAGGGUUAUUUUAGAUUAGCCCGUGUAUUCCCCUGACACAAGUCUAAUUAUGCCAGUUGCCACUAUUUUAGAGCAAUUAAACAAUUACGGAUUUAAUGCCCUAAUUGACAAUAGAUUAUCCAAUCAACUAAUUAUCUGGAUCCAAGACAAUCAAUUAAUUAAAUAACCAUAAACAUAGCAACCAAGAAAUAUGCGGAUACCAAUAAAUAAAAGAAAAAGAUAAAAUUAAAUCGAUCUCACAAAUUUUAGGCGACCCAGAGCCUUCGUUGUCCCUUGACUAGACAAAGGGAUUUAGUUCAUGUUUGCAGAACAAAGCCCAAACAGAAUUGCAGAGAGAGACGCAGCCAUCAAUUGGGCAAAUGCCCAAGUUCAAUUCGUUUGAAGGAGUAAGCUAAGCUAUCCUGCCAUGCGUAAGAAAAGUAAAAAGCAAAGCUCCAGGAAAAGUCAACAAUAAAGCUCCUAAGCUACAGACGAAAGACUAAGCAAAGCCAGCCAUCCUUUCCUCUCUGAAGCAUUCUACUCUAAUGCCUCGCCAUUGUGCGGCGGCUCUCCUCCGAGAGGAGGAAAAUUCGAGAGAGACCCAAGAAGACUUCGGCCUCCUCCUUUUAAUGCUGUCUGCGGGCCAAUUACCAAGAAGGGUUGUGGUUUGAUAUUCCAAAAAUGUCCCUAGAUGCCUGCUACUUGAACUCUUUCUUGAUAAUUGUCAAAUUGGCCUUGAUUGUGAUAUUUUUGUUCUACUCCCUGAAAUAAAUAUAAAUUACGAAAAAUGAGUAGAAUCUAAUAAUUAAUUCAUAUCAAGUUAGGUAAUAGGGGAAAUUAAUAAUAAAAUAAAUGACAAAAUUGCAACCUAUCAA